rnacentral:rRNA from 1 species
GUCCAGACUCCUACGGGAGGCAGCAGUGAGGAAUAUUGGUCAACGGGCGAGAGCCUGAACCAGCCAAGUCGCGUGAGGGAAGACGGCCCUACGGGUUGUAAACCUCUUUUGUCGGGGAGCAAAGCGAGUCACGUGUGACUCAUUGAGAGUACCCGAAGAAAAAGCAUCGGCUAACUCCGUGCCAGCAGCCGCGGUAAUACGGAGGAUGCGAGCGUUAUCCGGAUUUAUUGGGUUUAAAGGGUGCGCAGGCGGAGGUGCAAGUCAGCGGUCAAAUUGCAGGGCUCAACCCCGUACUGCCGUUGAAACUGCAUCCCUUGAGUGCGCGAGAAGUAUGCGGAAUGCGUGGUGUAGCGGUGAAAUGCAUAGAUAUCACGAAGAAUUCCGAUUGCGAAGGCAGCAUACGGCAGCGCUACUGACGCUGAAGCUCGAAGGCGCGGGUAUCGAACAGGAUUAGAUACCCUCGUAA